rnacentral:rRNA from 1 species
GACGAACGCUGGCGGCGUGCCUAAUACAUGCAAGUCGAACGCACAGUUUAUACCGUAGCUUGCUACACCAUAAACUGUGAUUUGCGAACGGGUGAGUAACGCGUAGGUAACCUGCCUGGUAGCGGGGGAUAACUAUUGGAAACGAUAGCUAAUACCGCAUAAUAUUGAUUAUUGCAUGAUAAUUGAUUGAAAGAUGCUAUUGCAUCACUACCCUAUUUACCUGCGUUGUAUUAGCUAGUAGGUGAGGUAACGGCUCACCUAGGCGACGAUACAUAGCCGACAUGAGAGGGUGAUCGGCCAGACUGGGACUGAGACACGGCCCAGACUCCUACGGGAGGCAGCAGUAGGGAAUCGUCGGCAAGGGACGAAAGUCAGACCGAGCAACGCCGCGUGAGGAAAGAAGGAUGUCGGAUCGUAAAGCUCGGUUGUAAGAGAAGAACGGGGGUGAGAGUGGAAAGUUCACAAUGUGACGGUAUCUGACCAGAAAGGGACGGCUAACUACGUG